UAUGGUGCUCUGCUUUACAUUUGUGACCUGAAUGAUGCUGAUAACACUGUAGUGUUUCAGCUGUUUCUGAUCAGGGUUUGCACAAUGGUAAGCUUUCUCUGUUUCUCUCUGUAUUCACUGCAAGGAGCUGGGGGUAUAGAAGAAGCUGGGAUGGGGCACAGCUGUGACAAGCUGACCCUUGCUGCCUAGUUGGUAUUCCAUUCCGUGUAACGGCAUGUUCACCAUGAAACUAUCAGCAGCCUUUCCAGAGAAGCUAUUCCUUGGAGACCGGCUGAGCAUCAGUUUGCUUGGGAAAGAGCGCUCAGAACAACAGCAAAGCAGUGGAAGUGUAACACAAACAGUAGAAAUGAUAUUUCCAGGGCAGCACUGAAGGAGGAUAUCUGAUGGAAGUGCUACUCUAUCUCAGCUGGACUGUCUGCCCAGGUCCCACUGGCAAAAAUUGGAUCCAGACUGAAAGUGAUGGCAAAACUGCCACUGAGCAAUCCAUACCAGCUCCUGUCUGAACAUCUCCUGUCAGAGGCCCCUUACGUGUCUGUUUCCUACCUUCUAAAGAUAGCAACAGCAGUGACUGAGUACUGCAGUUACUUUCUCCCAGCAGCCAACAGACCUAAAAGGCUGUCUGUUUUCUCUCCUGACUACAAUCAUUGUAAGCCCAGAGGUGCUGGAGGCACACCGCAGCACAGACACCUAUGGUGAGGAGCUGGCUAGGCAAACACCUUCCUAACCUGUUGGGGAGAGGGAAGCAGGGAGGGAAACUGAACUUCUGCUCUAACUCA